rnacentral:misc_RNA from 1 species
AAGACAACACACUUGUCAUUUAUAUCCAACAUCCGAACAUAUAAACAUAUAAUUUUUGUGCGUUUCCAAAGGAUUUUAUAUUGCCUUUUCCAAUGGCCAAUGGAUAAAUUUUUCUGUUUUCUGUGGACCUAUUAUUUUCUAUUGAGAUUCUGCUGUAAAAUAAGAUGCCCUACCCCAAACUACUCUCACAGAGCAGCAACAGCCAGUUGUCCAAAGACAUGGAGGAAAGUGGAAGAGGAGACAAUGAUUCUGAUCUCGGAUCAGAUUCUUCAAGGAAAUCUCGACCAAAUGUUCUCAUUGUCAUCACUUUUGUGCUUGAGCUGAUUAUAUUGGGGAUAAUUGCUACCUUAGCUUACUUUCUCAGAUGGACAAAUGUCUUCCCAAUGCGACGGAACAACUUUUCUUGUAUAGAUGCUGAGCUCUCACAUUCUUCAAAAGAAAGUCUUUUUGUGGAUUUUGCAUUUCAUGCUGAAGUUUCUGAUGAAGCUGUAUAUUCUUUGAGUGUUUGUGUUCCACCAUUUGUGAUAUUAAUAAGUGAAAUAGGUAUGUGGGCCUUCAGUUCUGAACCUCAACGUUCUAUUACUAUUCUCUGUGCUGCCUGCAGGCUUCCACAGAUUAUUCGAAGAAUUUUCCGAUUCAUAGGCGUCUUUCUCUUCGGUGCCAUGGCACUGAUGGUAUUCACAGAUGUCAUCAAAUUAAUGACGGGGCGUUUACGGCCGAAUUUCCUUGAUAUCUGCCAAGUAAAUCGGUCGAAGUGCUUCUUGCAAAAUCAAAGUGGAGGAGAUGAGUUGUGCCUGGUCAAAAAUAUGUUACACCUCCGCAAUGCUCGAACUUCAUUUCCUUCGAUGAAUGCAUGUUUAACUUCAUAUGCAGCUGUCUUCCUUGUGAUCUAUAUACAUUAUGGUGUUGGCACCCACACCUUAAAACUUGUACGAGUAUUCUUGGCCAUGAUAUUCUGUAUGAUGUCUCUACUUUGUGGAUUGGUAGAAAUUGGACUGUUCCGAAGUUACUGGACAGAUGUCGUUGCUGGCUUUGGAAUGGGUGUUCUCAUGGCUGCCUACCUGGGUGGAUUUGUGCUACAUAAUUUCAGUGAACACACAUUGGACAAAAAACUGCUCCGAGCACUGAAAACAUAUUUGUUGCAACAUGGAGGGUCAUCUGGACGUCCAGGGAACAUGAGGUAUGAUCCACUGUUUGGUGGUUCUGGCUUCCAUAUUCCUCGUGUACAUGUCCCGCUGUUUGCCGACGAAAGCAACCACAAGCAUCGGACUCAUAGACCCCAAGAUACAUUCCAAAGGGAUCUAUCACAUGUUGUUGAACAUUAUCGCCGUGGCUCUCCAACCCAGGGUAGCACUCACAUGUGAAUGUACCCAUUCAUCAAAGAGGCACCAAAACGUGAAUGAAAACUCACGCUAGCUUACACAUACCACAUAUUAACACUCACACACACACACACACAUAUAUAUAUAUAUAUAU